rnacentral:RNase_P_RNA from 2 species
AAAGUAAACAGGACAAUCGCUGGUGGAGUACCGUAAGGUCCCACGGGAGGAAAGUCCGAGCUCCGUAGGGCAAGAUGCCAGUUAACGGCUGGUGGGGGCAACCCUAAGGCUAGUGCCACAGAAAUGUUAGACCGCCGAUGGAGGUGUAUACCUCACAGGCAAGGAUGCAACGGUGCGGUAAGAGCGCACCAGCAACAUGGAGACAUGUUGGCUAGGUAAACCCCAUCUGGAGCAAGACCUGAUAGGAAAUCAACACGUAAGUGUAGCUGUUGCCCGCAGUGAUUUCGGGUAGGUCGCUUGAGCCUACUAGCGAUGGUAGGCCUAGAUAGAUGAUUGUCACUCCAACAGUGGGAGAUGUAACAAGCCAUCGAUUACCACUAGGAGAACAGAACUCGGCUUAUUGUUUGCUUUCCAA